rnacentral:rRNA from 1 species
ACGAAAGGUGCAAGCGUUGUUCGGAAUUACUGGGCGUAAAGCGCUCGUAGGCGGGAAUUCAGGUCGAUUGUGAAAGCCCAGGGCUCAACCUUGGAAUUGCAGUCGAAACCGUUUUUCUUGAAUACCUGAGAGGGUGGGGGAAUUCCUAGUGGAGAAGUGAAAUUCGUAGAGAUUAGGAGGAACACCAGAGGCGAAGGCGCCUACCUGGCAGUGUAUUGACGCUGAGGAGCGAAAGUGUGGGGAGCAAACAGG